GGGGAAUCUUCCGCAAUGGACGAAAGUCUGACGGAGCAACGCCGCGUGAACGAAGAGGGUCUUCGGAUUGUAAAGUUCUGUGAUUCGGGACGAAAGGGUUUGUGGUGAAUAAUCAUAGACAUUGACGGUACCGAAAAAGCAAGCCACGGCUAACUACGUGCCAGCAGCCGCGGUAAUACGUAGGUGGCAAGCGUUGUCCGGAAUUAUUGGGCGUAAAGCGCGCGCAGGCGGUUUCUUAAGUCCAUCUUAAAAGCGUGGGGCUCAACCCCAUGAGGGGAUGGAAACUGGGAAGCUGGAGUAUCGGAGAGGAAAGUGGAAUUCCUAGUGUAGCGGUGAAAUGCGUAGAGAUUAGGAAGAACACCGGUGGCGAAGGCGACUUUCUAGACGAAAACUGACGCUGAGGCGCGAAAGCGUGGGGAGCAAACAGGAUUAGAUACCCUGGUAGUCCACGCCGUAAACGAUGGAUACUAGGUGUAGGAGGUAUCGACCCCUCCUGUGCCGGAGUUAACGCAAUAAGUAUCCCGCCUGGGAAGUACGAUCGCAAGAUUA
rnacentral:rRNA from 1 species